UCAUCACUCAUCAGUCUUUAGUUGUUCAUGAGUGUUUAAAAGCUGAUUAUUUGCGCGCGGGAGAUCGAUACCGAAAAUGGAAUUUAAUAAUUAGUAAAUUAUCAGUGUUACGAAAUUGGGCAGUUACGCAAGCAACUCUGAAGCCAUUGGUAACCGUUCAUGUGUGACGCAGUGAUCGCCGUUCACCGCACUUGUUACUGUCCCUAGGAUAAAGGUAAG